UUCAGCUCGAUUGGCAUCUGCUCUGCGUGCUGCAUCCUGGCUCCUGGCGUCCUGCACGUGCUAUUGGAGAGCCCGGAGCCAGGCUGCUGUUCUCCAGGCAGGAUAGCAGAGCUGCGGCUC
rnacentral:precursor_RNA from 7 species